CUCGGGCAAGACUCACUGAGUAAUCCAAUCCAUCCAGAGCGCCUCUCUCCGCCCCCUUCCCUUGUGUCCGACUUUGAGGAACUUCACACUGGGAAGCCGUUUUCGCCAACGCGCCGGAGCCAGACGCGCGCCCUGAAUUAGUCGCGUCCAAACUUUUAUUUGUCGAAGAACAUAAACGGGAUGCGGUGACACACACCGCCAGAACGCCCCUUUUAGCCGCAGCAGUGUCGAAAACUUAUUCCAUUUGGGAAAAACCUGAUUACUCAAUGCGCAAAGCGCCUGAAGGCGAAUGGAGUUGAAGGGAUUUUUCUCGCUCCGCGCGGGACCGAUGCCUGAUCUCCAGUGAAAAAUGUGGAAAGAUGAAUAUGAGGUGCAUUUCGACUUUCUUCUGGGACUUCUUAAGAGAACACACAAAGGGGGAUUUGUGUUUUUGGCUAACUGACAAGGCCGCAGCAACUCCUUCACACCUCGCUCUAUUCAUCCAACACACCUCUCCGACGGCAUCAGAACGGGCAGAGAGAGACGCUGGCAUGUUCCUUUAGGAAUCGAUAAUACUAUAACUGUGCAAUCUAUCAUUAUUAUUGAUCACAGCAGCCCGGUGGCAGAUGGAGAAGUAUUGCUUUCCGAUCAGGUUUGUUCAGUCACUAUGUACACAGGACUAAAAUACAAACGGCCAGCUGUUUUGACACCUGACUGCUGAAAGAUUAUGUCAGGGGCGCUGAACCAGUCAGAGAGUCUGGCGAUCUAAUUCACACCUGUCUCUGUGCAGACACGUGCUCACGUACUGUAGAUGUGAGUCAUAUUUGUGAUGAUUCAGUGACUGCUUUUCUUGACAGGAAGAGGGCAAGAGACGGUUGCAAAACCUAAACUCAGAUGACAUUUCGUCAUACCUUUAUGUAAUGUCUUUAUGUAUUACUGAUGGAUCAUGCGAUCAGUAAUUUAGCAGAUACCAGAUGUACUGUAUAAUACACCAUUUCUUAUUCUGCAACAUUUUGAAGCCCCUUCAUUAAAAUGUAUUCCUCAUAACUUAGUAGUAACUAAAAAUGAUCUAUUCCAUCUAUUCCAGAUGUUACCAUCC